UACAGAGGGUGCAAGCGUUAAUCGGAAUUACUGGGCGUAAAGCGUGCGUAGACGGUUACAUAAGUCGGGUGUGAAAGCCCCGGGCUCAACCUGGGAACUGCAUUCGAGACUGCGUAGCUAGGGUGCGGAAGAGGGAAGCGGAAUUUCCGGUGUAGCGGUGAAAUGCGUAGAUAUCGGAAGGAACACCAGUGGCGAAAGCGGCUUCCUGGUCCAGCACCGACGUUCAGGCACGAAAGCGUGGGGAGCAAACAGG
rnacentral:rRNA from 1 species